rnacentral:misc_RNA from 1 species
AAGUCGUAACAAGGUUUCCGUAGGUGAACCUGCGGAAGGAUCAUUUCUGAACUAAGGUCUGAUUCGUUUUCUUUUUUUAACUUUUGCAAAAAAGUUUUAAAAAAAAAAAUAAAAUCUUUCCUUAUCAAAGAGAGUGUGUGGUAUAAAUGAAAAGGAAAACAAAAAAAAGUGAUCGGGUAUUCAUGUAUUUGAGUACUCGUUUCUUUUGUUGUUUCCUAAUCUUACUUUAUGAACCAAAACAAGUUACUUUUUUGUUCAAAAACAAAAUUAUUUUUUUUUUUUAAAAUUUGCGUUCAUUUCACAAUGAACAAAAAUGAAAAGAAAAAAAAUACAAAAAAAAUGACAUACAACUGUCAACGGUGGAUCUCUUGGCUCGU